rnacentral:rRNA from 1 species
UCUUUUCCUUUUUUGCCCGCCGCCGCGGUAAUACGUAGGGGGCAAGCGUUAUCCGGAUUUACUGGGUGUAAAGGGAGCGUAGACGGCAAGGCAAGUCUGAUGUGAAAACCCAGGGCUUAACCCUGGGACUGCAUUGGAAACUGUCUGGCUCGAGUGCCGGAGAGGUAAGCGGAAUUCCUAGUGUAGCGGUGAAAUGCGUAGAUAUUAGGAAGAACACCAGUGGCGAAGGCGGCUUACUGGACGGUAACUGACGUUGAGGCUCGAAAGCGUGGGGAGCAAACAGG